GCCAGGUGCAGUGAUGCACACCUAUAAUCCCAGUGGCUCGGGAGGCUGAGACAGGAGAAUUGAGAGUUCAAAGCCAGCCUCAGCAAUGGGGAGGCUGUAAGCAACUUAUUGAGAUCCUGUCUCUA
rnacentral:sRNA from 1 species